GAAAGGGAAAAAAGGUUUUUUUUUUUUUUUUUUUUUUUUUCCUUGCGUUUUUGCUUUUUGCUCUUCUUGUUCUUCUCCUUCUUAUCCUUGU
rnacentral:ribozyme from 1 species